rfam:Triticum urartu cultivar G1812 contig273951, whole genome shotgun sequence.
AUGGUACUCCCUUCGUCCGGAAAUACUUGUCCUAGAAAUGGUUGUAUCUAGACUUAUUUUAGUUAUAGAUAUAUCCAUUUUCAACCAUUUUGAAUUAAGACAAGUAUUUCCGGACGGAGGGAGUAUCUG